AGUGAACGCUGGCGGUAGGCCUAACACAUGCAAGUCGAACGGCAGCACAGUAAGAGCUUGCUCUUACGGGUGGCGAGUGGCGGACGGGUGAGGAAUACAUCGGAAUCUACUUUUUCGUGGGGGAUAACGUAGGGAAACUUACGCUAAUACCGCAUACGACCUACGGGUGAAAGCAGGGGAUCUUCGGCCCUUGCGCGAUUGAAUGACCCGAUGUCGGAUUAGCUAGUUGGCGGGGUAAAGGCCCACCAAGGCGACGAUCCGUAGCUGGUCUGAGAGGAUGAUCAGCCACACUGGAACUGAGACACGGUCCAGACUCCUACGGGAGGCAGCAGUGGGGAAUAUUGGACAAUGGGCGCAAGCCUGAUCCAGCCAUACCGCGUGGGUGAAGAAGGCCUUCGGGUUGUAAAGCCCUUUUGUUGGGAAAGAAAAGCAGCAGGUUAAUACCCCGCUGUUCUGACGGUACCCAAAGAAUAAGCACCGGCUAACUUCGUG
rnacentral:rRNA from 1 species